GAAGAGGUUUAUUAUUCCCUCAAGCUAUUUGGAAUUUAUAUUGUUUACAAGUGUACUAAAAAGGAAGAAUACAGAUUAUGGGCAUAUUUACAGGCCUAAUUAUGGUACAUAACCACAUCAUCUAAUUAGGGCAAGUAUCUCAAAAAUUCAGGCAAGUAUCUCAACAGUAAGGAACUAUGGUUUAAUUUCCUCCACAACAAUUAGAACAUUAACUUGUCUAAUUAAUCACAAAGAUAACCAAUGCAUAUAAGAGUUUCAAGUAAAGCCCUGCGCUAAUGCCCCGAUCAUUAUCAAUGUGAGACUUGAAAAGAUGGCCAAUACUUGUGUCAAUCUUACAAUUUGGACAAUUAUGUAAUAAAUAAUCAAGAUUGUGAAGAAGAUUGAGAGCAAAAUGAUUUUGUAUUGGUCAGAUCCAUAACUGUUUUAGAGAAAUUUUAGGAUGUAAUUGUG
rnacentral:misc_RNA from 1 species